AACAGGAUUAGAUACCCUGGUAGUCCACGCCGUAAACGAUGUCGAUUUGGAGGUUGUGCCCUUGAGGCGUGGCUUCCGGAGCUAACGCGUUAAAUCGACCGCCUGGGGAGUACGGCCGCAAGGUUAAAACUCAAAUGAAUUGACGGGGGCCCGCACAAGCGGUGGAGCAUGUGGUUUAAUUCGAUGCAACGCGAAGAACCUUACCUGGUCUUGACAUCCACAGAACUUUCCAGAGAUGGAUUGGUGCCUUCGGGAACUGUGAGACAGGUGCUGCAUGGCUGUCGUCAGCUCGUGUUGUGAAAUGUUGGGUUAAGUCCCGCAACGAGCGCAACCCUUAUCCUUUGUUGCCAGCGGUUAGGCCGGGAACUCAAAGGAGACUGCCAGUGAUAAACUGGAGGAAGGUGGGGAUGACGUCAAGUCAUCAUGCCCUUACGACCAGGGCUACACACGUGCUACAAUGGCAUAUACAAAGAGAAGCGACCUCGCGAGAGCAAGCGGACCUCAUAAAGUAUGUCGUAGUCCGGAUUGGAGUCUGCAACUCGACUCCAUGAAGUCGGAAUCGCUAGUAAUCGUAGAUCAGAAUGCUACGGUGAAUACGUUCCCGGGCCUUGUACACACCGCCCGUCACACCAUGGGAGUGGGUUGCAAAAGAAGUAGGUAGCUUAACCUUCGGGAGGGCGCUUACCACUUUGUGAUUCAUGACUGGG
rnacentral:rRNA from 1 species